rnacentral:rRNA from 1 species
CUACGGGUGGCACCAGUGAGGAAUAUUGCACAAUGGGGGGAACCCUGAUGCAGCAACGCCGCGUGGAGGAUGACGCAUUUCGGUGUGUAAACUCCUUUUAUAUGUCAAGAAAAUGACGGUAGCAUAUGAAUAAGCACCGGCUAACUGCCGUGCCAGCAGCCGCGGUAAUACGGAGGGUGCAAGCGUUACUCGGAAUCACUGGGCGUAAAGGACGCGUAGGCGGGUUGGAAAGUCAGGUGUGAAAGCCGACAGCUUAACUGUAGAACUGCACUUGAAACUUCUAAUCUAGAGUAUGGGAGGGGGAGAUGGAAUUAGUGGUGUAGGGGUAAAAUCCGUAGAUAUCACUAGGAAUACCUAAAGCGAAGGCGAUCUCCUGGAACAUUACUGACGCUAAGGCGUGAAAGCGUGGGGAGCAAACAGGAUUAGAUACCCCGGUAGUC